rnacentral:ncRNA from 1 species
UGGCUGGGGUGGGACACCUGUAAAAAUGUAAGGCAGGUCUCUUAAGGCAAGCUCAGGGUCCGGAAACCUCCCACAGAGGAGAAGGGCAGAAGCUUGCUUGACCUUGACUUUCAGUACAAAUGCAGAUCAUGAAAGCAGAGGAUCAUGAUCCUUCUGGCUUUCUGGGUUUUGUCCAAAACCUCAAACAUUCCUAACUCAUAUUAUGUUUAUGCCUGUAAAUUAUAAUUGUUUUUGUUGUCUUUUUUUUUCCCAAAAAAAGUUCAGAAUCAUUAG